rnacentral:rRNA from 1 species
AUUGAACGCUGGCGGCGUGCUUAACACAUGCAAGUCGAACGAGUGGCGAACGGGUGAGUAACGCGUAUCAACCUGCCCUUCAGAGGGGGAUAACUACUGGAAACGGUAGCUAAUACCGCAUACCAUCAGAUGUGCCCAGAUGGGAUUAGCUAGUAGGUGGGGUAACGGCUCACCUAGGCGACGAUCCCUAGCUGGUCUGAGAGGAUGACCAGCCACACUGGAACUGAGACACGGUCCAGACUCCUACGGGAGGCAGCAGUGGGGAAUAUUGCACAAUGGGCGCAAGCCUGAUGCAGCCAUGCCGCGUGUGUGAAGAAGGCCUUCGGGUUGUAAAGCACUUUCAGCGGGGAGGCGUUACCCGCAGAAGAAGCACCGGCUAACUCCGUGCCAGCAGCCGCGGUAAUAC